UACGGAGGGAGCUAGCGUUGUUCGGAAUUACUGGGGCGUAAAGCGCACGUAGGCGGCUUUGUAAGUUAGAGGUGAAAGCCCGGGGCUCAACUCCGGAACUGCCUUUAAGACUGCAUCGCUUGAAUCCAGGAGAGGUGAGUGGAAUUCCGGAGUGUAGAGGUGAAAUUCGUAGAUAUUCGGAAGGAAACACCAGUGGCGAAGGCGGCUCACUGGACUGGUAUUGACGCGUGAG
rnacentral:rRNA from 1 species